rnacentral:rRNA from 1 species
CCUACGGGAGGCUGCAGUGGGGAAUAUUGGACAAUGGGCGAAAGCCUGAUCCAGCCAUGCCGCGUGUGUGAAGAAGGCCUUCGGGUUGUAAAGCACUUUCAGUGGGGAAGAAAGCCUUGGGGCUAAUACCCUCGAGGAAGGACAUCACCCACAGAAGAAGCACCGGCUAACUCCGUGGCCAGCAGCCGCGGUAAUACGGAGGGUGCGAGCGUUAAUCGGAAUUACUGGGCGUAAAGCGCGCGUAGGCGGUCUGAUAAGCCGGUUGUGAAAGCCCCGGGCUCAACCUGGGAACGGCAUCCGGAACUGUCAGGCUAGAGUGCAGGAGAGGAAGGUAGAAUUCCCGGUGUAGCGGUGAAAUGCGUAGAGAUCGGGAGGAAUACCAGUGGCGAAGGCGGCCUUCUGGACUGACACUGACGCUGAGGUGCGAAAGCGUGGGUAGCAAACAGGAUUAGAUACCCGGGUAGUC